UCCAGGGAUGGGAAUCGAACCCACAGUGUUCCGCUUACCGGGCAGAUGCCAUGUCCACUAGGCUAGG